UUUAGAUUUUUCUAUUUUAAUUCAAGGUAUUCAUCAUCGGAAAUAAGAAAGCAGUUUACACUCCCACCCAACCUCGGACAGUACCACCGGCACAGCAUUAGUGCAUCCGGCUUCCCCACCCUUCAGCUACCUCUGCUGUAUGAGCCUGUGGAGCCAGUGGACUUUGAAGGACUUGUGAUGACACACUUAGACAGCUUGGAUGCGGAGCUGGCCCAGGAGCUGGGGGACCUCACCGAUGACGACUUGCAUGUGGCGUUCACACCCAAGGAAUGUAGGACUUUGCAGCCCUCUCUGCCAGAGGAAGGAGUUGAACUGGAUCCUCAUGUCAGGGAUUGUGUUCAGACUUAUAUUCGAGAGUGGCUGAUUGUGAACCGGAAGUAAGUUUAUCCCUCUUUAUUUUUAUAUAAUUUAUAUAAAUGUAAAUUUUGCAUUGUUAGUGU